UAUUAGAUGAGAUAAUAAAGUAUAUCUUGACCAAAUAUAUAUUGACCAUGUGUAUGCAUCUGCCCGAUGUUUAUAUAAUUUCGUGUUUUCAGGCGGUGGGAUUUCAGUGUCGGCAGUUGCUUCGUGUGUCUCUACGUUCUUGCUGUGGCCGGACUCAGUCUCAGUGUGUUUCAGGUGCCUUAAGGCAUGGAGCUCCUUGAAAGAGAAACACAAAUCACUAAAAAUGUUGAGAUAAAAUCCUGCUCCUCAGAGGCGCCUGUUUGGCACGAACUGAACAGGGCGGUGAUACGCCCUGUGUUUUACAAAGGGAGGAACUAAAGUCCCUAGGAGUUGCCUUCCCCGUUUGGCGUGGCAAGCUAUUAAGAGCUGUGAAUGAAAACCAGAUAAGUACGUUUGAAGCCAGGAAGUUAUGUGGUUUGCAAAGUGAAGUGGAUGAUCCUAAUGGUUGGUGACAUUCUCAUCCCAUUCUGGUCCACCCCCGUCUACUCCAGGGAGAUACAUGCCAGCUGGACCAAAACACUUGUGUCAACCGUGUCAGCAUCGUGCAGUGUACACACUUACAAAUUCUUGCUUUCUAGUUUACCUUUUCCUCGGCUCCACAUAAAGGGAGAAAGGAAACACCUUCACAGUCAGAACAUCUAGGUCAACCCUAGUGACGGGUGACACGGCAGCUGGAGCAGCCUGCUUGCUUCACGUUUAAAGAAUUUCAGGUAAAUGCAUCUAACAGACUUGGACACAAAGGGGAACCAGCAGUGGUUCCUGGUCUUAAGUAGCUUAUAGCCUGGUAGGACCAGAUUCAAACAUUCUUUGCCCAUUUCUACUUGGCAUAUC